UUUUAAACAUAUCUUUUGCUUUCAAAACAAACAUUACCGGGUAGUGUGUACAUUUUAUCACUUUUCAAUACCAAUCCCAGGGUAAAAUUUAACCAAGAUAGUAAAGUUAUUAACACCAUGGAGCGGUGCAUCAAAGCUAUCCUCUCCGUAGUCCCGUUGAAAACUUUUCUUUUAAAUCGAGACUGUGUAAAAGAAAAUAAACUCUACCAAACAGUGCUUUCCACCAUUGUUGAACCAUUAGCAAACGAGCUCACAACAGAUGCUGUAAAAACCAUAUCUACCAAUUUAAUAAAAGUCGGUGUACUGUACGAUACUGUGUACAAUCGGUUGCACACCGGUCAGUGGAAUGCGGUGGCCACGAGCGAAAGGGAAAUGUUCACCAUCCUAACAUAUGUCCGAAUCGUGUACACCUUAUACGCAUCAAAUAGUUACGAAGAUGCAAUAAAAGAUAACAUAUAUUUGGCUGAUCUGGGAUUGAUGCUUGGAUGUCCGAUCGGGUUAGAGUGCAAGAACGUCCCAACAGAUUUGCUAACCGAAACGGCAUCGAUACUUACGGGAGAAUUAGCAAACUUAGAUAAGCAGGAACCACCCGUGAAAAGGAUUAAGCUGGACGACAUUACAGGGGAAAUAAGUUUAACGGAAAACAAAUCCAACGACGUUCCAAUAAUGAAGUGUCCAUCGUUAGAAUAUUUUGGAACCCGAUGCUACGAUACAAAGCAACCGGCCGUUCUGAAUGGAAUAAUCGAUGGCUGGCCGGCAAUGGAACGGUGGCACGAUCCAAACUAUCUGCUAAAAGUGGCCGGCGAACGAACCGUACCAAUCGAGAUUGGUUCUCAGUACAGCAAUGAUGAUUGGUCUCAAAAGCUAAUGAAGUUUCGGGACUUCCUUGAGCAAAGUAUCUGCUGCGAGCCGUCCGAUUCGGCGGGAAAGCAACCACCGGCCUACCUAGCGCAGCAUGAUUUGUUUGAUCAAAUUCCUGCUCUUCGAGCGGACAUUGCCAUUCCCGACUACAUUGGCCGAACGGACGCACAGCCACGCAUAAAAGCAUGGCUCGGUCCAAAAGGCACUGUCUCGCCGCUUCAUACCGACCCGUGCCACAAUCUGCUGUGUCAGGUUUUCGGCGCUAAACUCAUCAUCCUCGCACGGCCGGAAGACACGGAAAGGCUGUACCCGCACGACCACUUCAUACUGAACAACACCUCGCAGGUGGAUGCACGCCGACCCGACUACAAUCGGUUUCCGCUGGUGCGGGACGUUCGGUUCUACCGGCUGACGUUGCGCCGAGGUGAGGUGCUUUACAUACCGCCAAAAUGGUGGCACUAUGUGGAAUCUCUGUCACUGAGCUUUUCUGUUAGCUUCUGGUUUGAAUGAUUCAUGUUGAUUGCAGCCACCGGGUUUCUUGCUGCAACCCGAAAGUGGCCGAAAGCCGGCGUAAAUACUUAUCAAAUCACGCAUCCCAGUAUAAAACGGUGCGAGUGUGGUUGAAAGUGUCUCACAGACAAAUGUUUGAAAGCGAACGUUGCUUCGGAUGCGAUUUGACCACGAAGUCAACGCGCUAGGAACGGCAAGCACAUGCGCCUUGAUACAGCAUCCACACGAUGCGAGCUAUGGUUACAGUGCACCACCAAAAAUAUCAAUAGAAAUCCAUCAGUGUGUUGUUCACUGUGCCAACGGUACGAGCAGCAUCGUUUCAUUCAAAACGGAGGUAUAUCCUGCCACAAAUUAUCCUUCCUCGCAACGUGGACGUACGCGUUUAGUAUGCUCGAUGGCCUCGGGGUGAAAGCAUUCCACCACUGCUCGGUCGUUCUUCAGCUGGCAGGCGUUACGCAUCGAUAGGACCAGUGCCGGUAAUCGCGCAAAAGUUUGACGGAAAUCUUGGCGCGCGCGUACGGUGGCCGAUUUUUGGCGCCCCUAAUCCCACUUAAGCUAAAGCAAAAAAGCCCAAACUCUUGUGCAUCCAGCCGGCAGUGUCCUACAUUGUAUAGUGAACGUUUGCUGAUUUUGCUGUGGCCCCUCUGGACGCAACGGCAGUACGUUGUACGAUAUUUUUGAGUGUGAAUCGCUGAAUCCUUCUUUCUUACAUCGUAGUGUGCAUUGUGCUUCAUACGCUCGCGGCAACCACGGUUUUGUGACGUUCGUUUGGAGUAUAGUUCGGUGGCCCAGUUUGGUUGGUGGGGAAAAUUGAAUGUGGCGCGCAAAAAUUGUGCCGAUGAGCAGUGGUGGUGAAAACAGACGUGGCUGACGGAUGCAAUUUUAAAACACACAUACACACACACACGCGCGCGCACAAUUCACACAGCACGUCUACCCACAAGCGCCAAAAUAUCUCCAUAACGAAAUCGCGUACGAGGCGGACGAAAUGUUUGGUAUUAAUUUGUUCAAUAGCGUGUUGACAGUUUUCGUAUUUGCACAAGGUGAGUAACGGGCACCCGCUGGGAGGGAUUGUGGGAUAAGCGGAAGAGCAAAAACAUACACAUCACAUCCAAAAUCGAGCCAAACAAAACACCGGGACCCGAUGGCAACGGAAGCAGUAAUCCCGUUUUGGGAGAAUGGGUUAGCGUAAGGUUUGGAAGGACCGGCAGGUGCGCCGGGUUGGGGUGGUUCAGUGGCUUUCCACAAUCUAACGCUGCUCACUGUUCGGCGACGUUUGCCAGUUGGUUAGACAAAUCCCAUUUAAUACAUUUUUGGGUUUUGGUGGUUUGCGGUUGAUUUCGAUGCCGCCAAAACUGGUGUGCUUUCUAGUGCUACAACCACACCCCAACAUACCUUGCGCCCCAUUUUGCGCCCAUUUGAGAUUUUUUGAUUGCCAGCAGCAUAUUAUUCCAGCUUGAGACGAUUCCACAGCACAUGAAUGAACAUGAAAUCCAAUCUACAAUGUACUCUGUACCACGAAGGGGGGAGCCCACACGCGCGGAAUCUACGUUUCCAUCUGCGAUUUCUCAAGCCGCUACCAUUGAAGGCUUUUCCCCUUUUGAAACGGUACUGAGGGAGGGGGGGGGGGAGGGGGGAAGAAACCACAUUUAACGCUAUUUCAACGAAUUUCUUAACCCGACGUCGGUGCAACAUUUCAAAAGGAAUGGAGAAGCAUUUCGUUUGAGGUUUUUAUUUUCCCCUAUUUUUAUUUUGUAUACAUUACGCUUUAUUUCGAGCAGCUUGAGCGGUGUACAGCGGCUAAUCUAGAGAGAAAAAAAAAGAGCUAAAAUCCGUGUUUGUUGGAAUUGCGCCAAAAAGAAGAAGAAGAGUGGAACAAGAACGCGCUUUACGUUUGACCGUAAGCCAUAGGAUCGCAAGGAUUAAACAUUAAUUCGCUUGUCCUUACCCCGCGCGGGUGGCGGUUGGUUGCCGCAUUGAAGGACUUGACAUGAGCGGCAGUUUGAACUAUUCGCCUUAAUCCCACCAUGGGACGCUUCCAGGCGAACCCAUCCCCAUUUGCCGACUGUCCGACCUGCCUCGCGCAAAGCGUUAUUCUACGAGGUACUGGGCUUCUCCAUCCGCAUUGCGCACACAAUAACCGAUACGAGCCAAAUUGUUGUUUUACCACCUUUUUUGUGAAGCUGUUUGUUGUUGUUUUCUUCGUCCCCGUUGCCCGAUUCAGCUUGGCCGGCUCUGGGCUCUGGACCGGGUUGACCAUUCAAUCCCCGGUUACUAAUCCGGUGGCUUAACGGUCUGGAAGGAAUCCGAUUUUAUUGUUUAUUUCUUUUUUAUGGCUUUUUAAACGGUGCUGUGCUUUCGCUGUGCGAGUUGAUGUAGUUUUUUUUUUUUUUGUGUGGCAAAACGUGUACGAAUUGUUGGAUUUAAUGCUGAGGAAAAGUCACAAGUGAGCCGUUGAUGCGGCGUGCCGGUUUUGAUCAUAUUGGUUGAGGGUUGGCUGAAUUAUUUACUACCCCGCAAUGGUGGUGCCAGCGGUGCCAAUAAAAACAAUAUGCGUGGAGGUGUAAUGGGCGAAGGCUGAAAAUAAUUGCAAAUGUAAAUACCGCCCUUUGGGAAGGUCGAUAGCGUGAUUUACAGUAAAUAUUGUUUGGGUCGUGGAAAAGUGCAAUGCGAGAGGUGAUGGAAUGAGAGAAUUUAUGGUUUUUUAUUGAACAAAAUGUUAUCAAUAUACAAUAAAUGCAUUGUGAUAGAAUC